rnacentral:rRNA from 1 species
CCUACGGGUGGCAGCAGUGAGGAAUAUUGGUCAAUGGACGCAAGUCUGAACCAGCCAUGCCGCGUGCAGGAUGACGGCUCUAUGAGUUGUAAACUGCUUUUGUACGAGGGUAAACCCCGAUACGUGUAUCGGGUUGGAAGUAUCGUACGAAUAAGGAUCGGCUAACUCCGUGCCAGCAGCCGCGGUAAUACGGAGGAUCCGAGCGUUAUCCGGAUUUAUUGGGUUUAAAGGGUGCGUAGGCGGUUUGAUAAGUUAGAGGUGAAAUGUCGGGGCUCAACCCCGAAACUGCCUCUAAUACUGUUAGACUAGAGAAUAGUUGCGGUAGGCGGAAUGUAUGGUGUAGCGGUGAAAUGCUUAGAGAUCAUACAGAACACCGAUUGCGAAGGCAGCUUACCAAACUAUAUCUGACGUUGAGGCACGAAAGCGUGGGUAGCAAACAGGAUUAGAUACCCUGGUAGUC